rnacentral:lncRNA from 1 species
UCAUUGGAUAUUUUCCUAAGGUAUUGGGUUUUCUCUCUCAUACUUAUCCAUAUGUUUUGGCUCAAGAAAUUGGCUUGAGUUUUGCCCAAGCAGCCCAAAACUUCCACUCCUUGGACCAUCAAAAGGGCUUUGUGAAUUCUCGCAACCAUCCAUACCACAACCCGCUCAACAAGCCCCAGACAUUUGCAUGGCUUGGACCCACUUAAGCUUGUAGUGUGGCUUGGUGCCAAGAUAAAGGUUUUCCGCUUAGCGUUGCAUGUUAUUG